UUCCUAGUGGCUCAGACGGUAAAGCAUCUGCCUGCAAUGUGGAAGACCCGGGUUCGAUUCCUGGGUUGGGAA
rnacentral:tRNA from 1 species